GCGAGAAAGAUGCAGGAAGAGGGGUGUGCGUGCAGAGCACGGGACGGUCGCAGCCCGCGCUAUGCUACACAUAAGGAGGAUUGGAGGAACACCCAAUCAAUCGGAGGGCGGGUGGGCUGAGCAGCCGGACGGCGCUGCCACGGGGGCAAGCGGUGAUCACGUGAGAUGCAUCUGCCACUGCUGGCGAACGCUCCGGGCGCUGGAGACGGCCGUUCUUUUCCGCAGGUACGUGAAACCCAGUUGCAUACACAACCUAUCCCUCCAACCUCGCCGCCCCAUCUCUGCUGUGCUUUCUCGGUGGAACUCAGACCGUGGCGCUCCAUUCCUAUCACCGUCGUCACACCGAUGGCCAGAGCGGGAUCCGCCACUCCCACGGCCGGGCCCCUCCUCGGCGGGCGCCCCUCCCUUAUCGCCGCCAACAACAGCGGAAGGUGUCGUGUCGUUUCCGACGUGGCGGAGCACAGCCACACGGCCGGGGCGCUCGGACACCUCCCGCUCUUCGGCGCACCCGCCGGCUCAACCUGCACGGUAGGCGGCUCCGGCACAACGGCCCCCCGCGGAGUCGUCGUCGGUGCGCUUGACCACGGCAAGGAGGGCGUCGCCCCCCGCGGAGUCCUCGCCGGGCGCCCGUCCGUGCCACACGCCGACGUCGCGGCCAGCCACAGCGGACGCCCUCGUCUCUCCAAGGAGUGCCACAACGUCGCCGACGCCGCAGGGCACGGCCUGGACGCUCGGGCUUGGGCUACCCCCGCUCCUCGGCGGCUCCACCUCUGUCGCGACGGGCAACUAUGUUUUGUCUCUAAUGCAUGUUUCGCUAAAACCCUUCUAUUUUUUGCAGAGCUCUCACAAAUCAGUCAACCUACGAAGUGGCCAGAUGGAAGGGGCUAUUUCUACUUAAGGGCAAUUCUGGACAGAGCUCAUCCAUUCAGUAAAUGCAUAUAUAGGAACAUCUGUGACUUCUGCCUCACUAGGGAAUGAAUUUGCUCCGGAAGCCGUGUGAGGCUAGAGAUAUUGUUUACUGUCCUAUGAUUUCAGCAAUAUACGACUGGAAGUAGGUUCCAGUGAUUGAAACUGUACAGGGUGAUUUCUCACGCUUCUGUAUGAAUGUGAAUUCGAGCUGUGAUUGUUUGUCGCAGUCUACAGUUUUGCUCCUCUCUUUUAAUAGCCAAGCACAAUUUGCUCUUUUA
rnacentral:rRNA from 1 species